rnacentral:rRNA from 1 species
AGUGAACGCUGGCGGCAGGCCUAAUACAUGCAAGUCGAACGGCAGCACAGCAGAGCUUGCUCUGUGGGUGGCGAGUGGCGGACGGGUGAGGAAUACAUGGGAAUCUGCCCAGUCGUGGGGGAUAACGUAUGGAAACGUACGCUAAUACCGCAUGCGCCCUACGGGGGAAAGUCGGGGACCGCAAGGCCUGACGCGAUUGGAUGAGCCCAUGUUCGAUUAGCUAGUUGGCGGGGUAAAGGCCCACCAAGGCGACGAUCGAUAGCUGGUCUGAGAGGAUGAUCAGCCACACUGGAACUGAGACACGGUCCAGACUCCUACGGGAGGCAGCAGUAGGGAAUAUUGGACAAUGGGGGCAACCCUGAUCCAGCCAUGCCGCGUGC